GAUGAACGCUGGCGGCGUGCCUAAUACAUGCAAGUCGAGCGAACGGACGAGGAGCUUGCUCCUCUGACGUUAGCGGCGGACGGGUGAGUAACACGUGGAUAACCUACCUAUAAGACUGGGAUAACUUCGGGAAACCGGAGCUAAUACCGGAUAAUAUUUUGAACCGCAUGGUUCAAUAGUGAAAGACGGUUUUGCUGUCACUUAUAGAUGGAUCCGCGCUGCAUUAGCUAGUUGGUAAGGUAACGGCUUACCAAGGCAACGAUGCAUAGCCGACCUGAGAGGGUGAUCGGCCACACUGGAACUGAGACACGGUCCAGACUCCUACGGGAGGCAGCAGUAGGGAAUCUUCCGCAAUGGGCGAAAGCCUGACGGAGCAACGCCGCGUGAGUGAUGAAGGUCUUCGGAUCGUAAAACUCUGUUAUUAGGGAAGAACAAAUGUGUAAGUAACUGUGCACGUCUUGACGGUACCUAAUCAGAAAGCCACGGCUAACUACGUG
rnacentral:rRNA from 1 species